UAAGCCGGAUUCUGUUUCUAUUCCUAUCAUUUAUCUAGGAUAAUAGUUACCCAUUAUCUCUAUCUGCCUACCCCCCGGUAUCAACCGAGCAAGUUUUCCGGUAUACAUGGCAUUUCACCGUACAGAGUUUACAUGAUUUCACUACAGCUAAACUGUACUUUCUUUCUGUUGCACUAUUCCUCACCUUACAGUGGAUGGGUGUUACCCAUUGUACUGCUCUAUGGUGUCCGGACUUUCCUC
rnacentral:RNase_P_RNA from 1 species